CCUACGGGAGGCAGCAGUGGGGAAUAUUGCACAAUGGGCGAAAGCCUGAUGCAGCAACGCCGCGUGAGCGAUGAAGGCCUUCGGGUCGUAAAGCUCUGUCCUCAAGGAAGAUAAUGACGGUACUUGAGGAUGAAGCCCCGGCUAACUACGUGCCAGCAGCCGCGGUAAUACGUAGGGGGCUAGCGUUAUCCGGAAUUACUGGGCGUAAAGGGUGCGUAGGUGGUUUCUUAAGUCAGAGGUGAAAGGCUACGGCUCAACCGUAGUAAGCCUUUGAAACUGGGGAACUUGAGUGCAGGAGAGGAGAGUGGAAUGCGCAGUGGAGCGGUGAAAUGCGUAGAUAUUGGGAGGAACACCAGUUGCGAAGGCGGCUCUCCGGACGGUAACUGACACUGAGGCACGAAAGCGUGGGGAGCAAACAGGAUUAGAUACCCGGGUAGUC
rnacentral:rRNA from 1 species